UCCGGCGUAGCUCAGCGGAAGAGCGGGUGACUGUUAAUCACUAGGUCGUUGGUUCGAACCCAACCGCCGGAG
rnacentral:tRNA from 1 species